GCUAAUAGAUAAUAUAUAAAACUUACAAUGGUAACAUUUUGCUUUUUUUAUAUGGUAAAUUCAGAUAUCAUUGUGUGACCUAAUUAUUUGGAUUUUGGAAGAAUGGACAAAAAUGCUGGACUUUUUCAACUGAUUUUUUUUUUUCGUUCUUAUGUUGUAACUGUUACACCACUGUCCCAGGUUAGGGGUAGGGUUGGGAUCCCACUAACAUAUCUAACCUGCCACAUUAUGUAUGUAUGUGUCUAUCCCAAGUCAGGAGUCUGUAAUUCAGUGGUUGUCAUUGUUGUUGAUGUGUUACAUAUUUGUUUUUCAUUAUUUUUUUGUACAUUAAUUAUGCCGUUUUAAUUUUUUUACAUUUGUCAUUUCGGAGCCUUUUAUAGCUGACUAUGCGGUAAGGACUUUGAUCAUUGUUGAAAGUGGUACAGUGACCUAUAGUUGUUAAUUUCUGUGUCAUUUGGUCUCUUGUGGAGAGUUGUCUCAUUGGCAAUUAUACCACAUCUUCUUUUUUAUAAUUAUUGCGAUGUCAAGAAAAUCUGGAAACAGAUACAUGUAUCAGAUGUCAGAAUGCAAGUUCUUAUUAUGGCAUUAACACCAAGUCCCUUAUUUGCAGUAACAAAAACCCAACAAUAAUUUCUGAAUUUACAAUAUUG
rnacentral:lncRNA from 1 species